rnacentral:ribozyme from 1 species
CCCCAAAAGAAAGACAAAAAAAAAAAAGACAAAAAAAACUAUGUACGUCGCGCUUUCAUGCUUCGCUGUUAGUGGUUUGGAUUUUGGCGUUUUGGUGCUCCGAUGUUUGCUUUUUGGUUUUUUUUGCCUUUUUUUCAACUGCCUUUCCUCCAAGUCUAGGGAGGAGGGAAAACGCACUUGAAAAGAAUGGUGUUUGGGUGAUCGUCACCUUCCCACCAUAAUCUCCAAAAGAAAGACAAAAAAA